rnacentral:lncRNA from 1 species
AUGUCUUGUAUUUCAUGGUGUUCAGUUCAUCCAGUGGCUCCUCUGACAUCUGAAGCAUGUAGGAGAUUGUUGAGCACUGAGCAGCAGAGAGUUUCUCUGAGUGUUUGUCUGAUUUCACAAACUCCUGAAUCUCUCUGAACAGAGUCUGAUCUUUCACUUCCAGCAGACAGAGGAACAGAUUGAUGGACGGAUCAGCUGAGAGAUCAUCAUCAUCACCAUCAUAAUCUUCAUCUCCCCUGAACCACUCUUUAAUGUCCUGUGUGGUUUCUCUGAUGCUCUCUGAGCUGUUCUCUGUGUGUGUCAGUAGCUCCUGUAAGAGUCUCUGAUUGGACUCCAGUGAGACGCCCAGCAGGAACCGCAGGAACAGAUCCAGACGUCCAUUCUCACUCUCGAGAGCUACAUCUACUGCUGAUGUUAGUAGAUCAUACAGAGACUCUUCACGGAUUUGACUGUUAGACAGUGAAGAUCUGAAUUCACGCAGUGGCUCCUUGUUCUUUGUUAAAUAGCAGUAAAGCAGAUAGAAAGCAGCGAGAAACUCCUGAAUGCUCAGAUGAAUGAAGCUGUAGACUUUCCUCUGAUGAAUCACAGAUUCCUGCUUAAAGAUCUCAGUGCAAAUCCCAGAAUACACUGAGGCGUCAGUGACGUCUAUGCCGCUCUCAAUCAGGUCCUCCUCAUAGAACAUCACAUUGCCCUUCAUCAGCUGUUUGAAAGCCACUUCAGCAAGUUUCACAAUCACUUCUCUGUUGGACUGCAGGAGUUUCUCUGGAUCUCUCUCUUCAUACUUCUGCUUCCUCAUGUUGAUCUGAAUCAGCAGGAAAGUGACUCCUGGUUCUUUGUUAAAUAGCAGUAAAGCAGAUAGAAAGCAGCGAGAAACUCCUGAACGCUCAGAUGAAUGAAGCUGUAGACUUUCCUCUGAUAAAUCACAGAUUCCUGCUUAAAGAUCUCAGUGCAAAUCCCAGAAUACACUGAGGCGUCAGUGACGUCUAUGCUGCUCUCAAUCAGGUCCUCCUCAUAGAACAUCACAUUGCCCUUCAUCAGCUGUUUGAAAGCCACUUCAGCAAGUUUCACAAUCACUUCUCUGUUGGACUGCAGGAGUUUCUCUGGAUCUCUCUCUUCAUACUUCUGCUUCCUCGUGUUGAUCUGAAUCAGCAGGAAGUGGAUGUACAUUUCAGUCAGAGUUUGAGGGAUUUCUGCUCUCAGAUCUUCUUCCAGGAGCUUCUGAAGCACAGUGGAUGAGAUCCAGCAGAAGACGGGGAUGUGGCACAUGAUGUGGAGGCUUCUUGCUCUUCUGAUGUGUGAGAUGAUUCUGCUGGCUUGAUGCUCAUCACUGAUUCUCUUCCUGAAAUAUUCCUCCUUCUGAGGCUCAGUGAAUCCCUGAAUUCUGUCAGACGGUGGAUGUAUUUGGAGGGGAUCUGAUUGGCUGCUGCUGGUCUGGAGGUGAUCCAGAUGAGAGCAGAGGGAAGCAGCUCUCCUUUCAUGAGCUCUGACAUCAACACAUCCACUGAUGAAGUCUCAGUCACAUCACAAACUUUCUGAGCGUCUGAAAACAUCAGUGUGAUUCUGCUUUCAUCCAGACCAUCAAAGAUGAACACAACUUUACACUCCUCAUAAAUCUGUGAG